AACUCGCGCGGGCGCGCGGGUGUUUUAUUUCAUUUUUAAAUUUUUUGAACUUUUUUUAUAUUAUCGAAUGUAUAUACUUUAUACACUUACCAACUGAAAAUAUUUGUUUAGUAUGUUUUUAAAACCAACACAAUUUUAUAGCAGAAAUCUAUAGUAGUUUUAUGUAUUCUAGUAGUUUAUAUGUAAAUAUUUGUAUUGUUAGAUUUCAUUUAAAUAAAAACUAUAUCAAAUAUUUAUUAAGAAACAAAUUUGCAAAUAAAUUUUGUUUUCAUAACAAUGUGAUAUUAAUUUUUUUUUCAUCCAACGUGAUAUUAAUUUAUUAUUUACAUCAUUCGUAUUUUACAUUUUUAGUUCUUAGUACAUAUUUGUGCUAAUCAAAAGUGGUUAAUAAUGUAUAAUUCAAACAAAUGGGCCAAGCUCUAGAUAAUAUAAAAAGACUAAGCCUAAAUUUGGUACUAAACAGAUUAAUCCGGGAAAAAGAAGAAAAUAAACAUACAUAACCUUUUCCUUUUGAGUUUAAUGUAUUUGUAUCGGUGAAUCAAAGUUUAGAUUAUUUCUCCCUUCGUCUCUUUGCUUCCCCAUCGGUUUUACCAAAGAGCAAACUCCACGGAGAAGAAGAAAACCAAGACUUAACUAUAUUUUUGUGUGGCUCAACUAACCUCCAACUUCUAAAAUUCAUAUGCAAAUUCAAUGGAAACCAACAACCUCUAUAUCGGAGACUAAUUGGUUGAUCAAAACAUUCAAUCUAAGAAGAAAGCAGGGGAUGUGAAAUUUAGAGGAUGAAUGGAUUAUCAUGUUAAAGAUCAGGUUGAACUCUUUCGUAUAACGUUAUUAGUUGAAUUUUAGCAAAAAAAAAAAGAUCAGGUAUUGGCAUAUGAAAUAAAAACUCCAAACAUAGAAUCUAGUUAAUCGGAAUCGUCAUACAAAGGUUAGUACUUGUUUUAUAAUAAGGUUGAUUUCAAAUGUCUUAAAUGUUUUUCAGACAUGAAGUAUUAGUAUCAAAACCAUCUCAUAGUUCUGUUAUAUAGAGAGAUAGCAUCCGAUUUAUUGAAGAGACAUUCUUAAGAUUUGGGUCAGAUUGAUAAACAGAGAGAUAAAUCGUGAGAAGAAUAGCAAACAGAAGUAUUGAAGCAAUAUGGAUUAAAGGGGAGACAGAGAAAGGAAGAAUAUAAUAUGUGUCUCUCAGUUUUCUUUUGCUUCUUUCUUGUUCUGAGAUUUUUUUAACUUGUUUAAAUAAUAUUUACAGCUCAAAAGGUAUUCAAGGUUGUCCAUGUCCCCACAGUUGAUGUCACUAAUCAUAUAUGUGUCUUGUCUCAUAUCUCUGUCUGAUAUUCUAAUUCUAAUAUAUGUACAAAUUGAAUAAGCGUUUCCUCCUUCUGAUAAGAUAGCAAACCCAUCGAUCAAUGAAGCUGAGGAUGAAAUCUUUCAAAUGUUUGAUAUGAAACUGUAACAGAGAUUUCUAUGACCCAGUUGAGGAAGAUGAAUUUGAACAGGAUGCUAAGGUCCAUAUAUUGUUCCCAACUGAACCUCUUCCGUUUCGUCUGCAGUGAUGAACUCAAGAGUUUCUCCACCACUACGGGUGUUUUGCUUCCACAUAUGAGGCAAUCUGACACGAAUUGGCCACCCGAUUUUAUACGCUUUGACAUCCUUUAGAAGAGACAUAUUUUUUGCGCUCGCCAUGUUUUCUGUAAAUGAAGAGUGAAAUAUGGAUAGGUAGUAGGUAAUUCUAGACCCAGUAUAUAUAUAGAUGGGUGAAGAGUCUAGGUUAAAAGGGUAGAUAGAGUCUAGGUUAAGAGGGUAGAUAUGGCGAGUUUAGAUACAGCUCGGAUAUCCUCUGCCUUCAAUUUUUUAAAGUUAAUCGUAUGAUUGUAUCUUUUGAAAAUCUCUAUAAUCAAUUUUAGAAAUUGUUCAAA